rnacentral:rRNA from 1 species
GACGAACGCUGGCGGCGUGCCUAACACAUGCAAGUCGAGCGGGGUUGAGGCGAGAGGUAACUCGAACUUCUACCUAGCGGCGGACGAGUGAGUAACGCGUGGGCAACCUGCCUCAAGGUUUGGGAUAACAGCCCGAAAGGGCUGCUAAUACCGGAUAUGCCUAUGGCCUCGCAUGGGGCUAUGAGCAAAGGGGAAACCCGCCUUGAGAUGGGCCCGCGUCCCAUCAGCUAGUUGGUGAGGUAACAGCUCACCAAGGCGACGACGGGUAGCCGGCCUGAGAGGGUGACCGGCCACACUGGGACUGAGACACGGCCCAGACUCCUACGGGGGGCAGCAGUGGGGGAUCUUGCACAAUGGGCGAAAGCCUGAUGCAGCGACGCCGCGUGAGCGAAGAAGGCCUCGGUUGUAAAGCUCUGUCUGGAGGGACGGAACAAAAUAGACGGUACCGUCCGGAGGAAGACCACGGCGUAACUACGUGCCAGCAGCGCGGUAAGUCUAGUCU